GCUUCCAGGGACACCUAAUUCCAACACGGAUCCCAUCAGAACUCAACCGUUAAGCGUGCUUGGGUGAGAGUAGUACUGGGAUGCGUGACCUCCUGGGAAGUCCUCGUGUUGCACCCC
rnacentral:rRNA from 1 species